ensembl:snoRNA U3 Small nucleolar RNA U3
AAGACUAUACUUUCUGGGAUUAUUUCUGUAGUUUGUUACUAGAGAAGUUUCUCUGAAUGUGUGGACUACCCAAAACCACAAGGAGGAGGCACAGCAGUCUCUCCUGAAUACGAAGCCAGCUCUUGGUGUUGCUUCUGCAACUGCCAUUAGUCACUGAUGAUUGUUCUCUUCCUUUCGGAGAGUAAGAGGGAAAGAACAUUGUCUGAGCGGA